rnacentral:pre_miRNA from 1 species
CCCAAUCGUCGCCCCGGCGGAGGCCGGGGCCGCCAGAGGUGAGCGCGCGCUAAUAUUCGUGGCGGCCCCGGCCUUCGCCGGGGCGACGAGGAGG